UCGGGCGGCUGGGCGAUCGCUGGUGGGGCAACUCACUGGAGGAAAGUCCGGGCUCCACGUAGGCAAGGCGGCGGAUAACGUCCGCCCGGGGAUGCGGGCAACUGCAAACCCGAGGGAUAGCGCCACAGAAAGCAAACCGCCCGGGACUCGUCCCGGGUAAGGGUGAAAGGGUGGGGUAAGAGCCCACCGCGUUCCUGGUGACAGGGAUGGCAAGGCAAGCCCCGCCUGGAGCAAGACCGAAUAGGGAUGGGCGUCCCAGCGCAAGCUGGGACAGGCACGCCUUCGUGCUCCAUCCGGGUUGGUCGCGCGAGGCGGUCCGCAAGGGCCGUCCCAGAGGAAUGGUCGCCCAUCUGCCUUGCCUUCUUUGAGGGCGAGGCGGGGGACAGAACCCGGCUUACAGGCCGCCUGAUCGA
rnacentral:RNase_P_RNA from 1 species